rnacentral:rRNA from 1 species
GAUGAACGCUGGCGGCGUGCCUAAUACAUGCAAGUCGAGCGAACAGACGAGGAGCUUGCUCCUCUGACGUUAGCGGCGGACGGGUGAGUAACACGUGGAUAACCUCCCUAUAAGACUGGGAUAACUUCGGGAAACCGGAGCUAAUACCGGAUAAUCUAUUUAACCGCAUGGUUCAUUAUUGAAAGACGGUUUUGCUGUCACUUAUAGAUGGUUCCGCGCCGCAUUAGCUAGUUGGUAAGGUAACGGCUUACCAAGGCAACGAUGCGUAGCCGACCUGAGAGGGUGAUCGGCCACACUGGAACUGAGACACGGUCCAGACGCCUACGGGAGGCAGCAGUAGGGAAUCUUCCGCAAUGAGCGAAAGCUUGACGGAGCAACGCCGCGUGAGUGAUGAAGGUCUUCGGAUCGUAAAACUCUGUUAUUAGGGAAGAACAAAUGUGUAAGUAACUAUGCACGUCUUGACGGUACCUAAUCAGAAAGCCACGGCUAACUACGUG